UUUGCAAUCUGCAUGCUCUUUUAAUUCGACUAAAUUGCUAAUUAAGAUCCCUCUUAGGGAAUUUUUUGCCAAAGAUUUUAAGUUACUUUUAAAGAAAAUAGAAAAAAGCUUCGACCAAUUGGAAAAACCAUGACAGGAGGAAGAAAUAUAUUUAAGGGACAAGGAAGCAAACCAGUUGCAACUAAAGAUGAUGCACAUGCAUAUCUUAGGGCAGUGAGGGAUCAUUUUCAUAAUGAUCGUAAAAAAUAUGAUGACUUUAUUGCACUCUUGACUAAGUUUAAAGCUCGCAAAAUUGAUAGGGCUGAUUGCGUAAUAGGAGUGCGGGAUCUGCUUCAAGGCCAACCAGACUUGGUUUCGGGUUUCAAUAAUUUUUUACCAGAGUGGUGUGAGAUCUAAUUAGAUUUCUCAAAAAAUCGAAUAAUUGAUUUGUGAUUUGUGCUGUCUUACUUUGUUUUAAGAAUCGUUAUUUAAAUAAAAAUAAUUUCUUAUAUAAAUA